rnacentral:tRNA from 1 species
GGUUGUGUAGUGUAGUGGUUAUCACUUCAGAUUUUGAUUUCAUAUUAAAUUCUGAUAACCCCGGUUCGAACCCGGGCACGACCU